rnacentral:rRNA from 1 species
AUUGAACGCUGGCGGCAGGCCUAACACAUGCAAGUCGAGCGGGGUUUUCGGACCUAGCGGCGGACGGGUGAGUAAUGCGUAGGAAGCUGCCCGAUAGAGGGGGAUACCAGUUGGAAACGACUGUUAAUACCGCAUAAUGUCUACGGACCAAAGUGUGGGACCUUCGGGCCACAUGCUAUCGGAUGCGCCUACGUGGGAUUAGCUAGUUGGUGAGGUAAUGGCUCACCAAUGCGACGAUCUCUAGCUGGUUUGAGAGGAUGAUUAGCCACACUGGAACUGAGACACGGGCCAGACUCCUACGGGAGGCAGCAGAGGGGAAUAUUGGACAAUGGGCGCAAGCCUGAUUCAGCCAUGCCGCGUGUGUGAAGAAGGCCUUCGGGUUGUAAAGCACUUUCAGCGAGGAGGAAGGGGUUGUAGUUAAUAGCUGCAACCUUUGACGUUACUCGCAGAAGAAGCACCGGCUAACUCUGUGCCAGCAGCCGCAGUAACAC